rnacentral:tRNA from 1 species
GCGCCCGUAGCUCAGCGGAUAGAGCGACGGCCUCCGGAGCCGUAGGUCGUGGGUUCAAGUCCCUCCGGGCGCG